rnacentral:rRNA from 1 species
CCUCAAAUCAGGUAGGACUACCCGCUGAACUUAAGCAUAUCAAUAAGCGGAGGAAAAGAAACUAACAAGGAUUCCCCUAGUAACUGCGAGUGAAGCGGGAAGAGCUC